UACGUAGGGGGCAAGCGUUAUCCGGAUUUACUGGGUGUAAAGGGAGCGUAGGCGGCUUAGUAAGUCAGAAGUGAAAGCCCGCAGCUCAACUGCGGGACUGCUUUUGAAACUGCCAAGCUAGAGUGUCGGAGAGGUAAGUGGAAUUCCUAGUGUAGCGGUGAAAUGCGUAGAUAUUAGGAGGAACACCAGUGGCGAAGGCGGCUUACUGGACGAUGACUGACGCUGAGGCUCGAAAGCGUGGGGAGCAAACAGG
rnacentral:rRNA from 1 species